rnacentral:rRNA from 1 species
CCUAACACAUGCAAGUCGAACGGUAACAGGAAGAAGCUUGCUUCUUUGCUGACGAGUGGCGGACGGGUGAGUAAUGUCUGGGAAACUGCCUGAUGGAGGGGGAUAACUACUGGAAACGGUAGCUAAUACCGCAUAACGUCGCAAGACCAAAGAGGGGGACCUUCGGGCCUCUUGCCAUCGGAUGUGCCCAGAUGGGAUUAGCUAGUAGGUGGGGUAACGGCUCACCUAGGCGACGAUCCCUAGCUGGUCUGAGAGGAUGACCAGCCACACUGGAACUGAGACACGGUCCAGACUCCUACGGGAGGCAGCAGUGGGGAAUAUUGCACAAUGGGCGCAAGCCUGAUGCAGCCAUGCCGCGUGUAUGAAG